UACGUAGGCAGCAAGCGUUGUUCGGAGUUACUGGGCGUAAAGGGCGCGUAGGCGGGAUGGCAAGUCAGUCGUGAAAUCUCUCGGCUCAACCGAGAAACGUCGGCUGAUACUGCCGUUCUUGAGGGAUGCAGAGGAGACUGGAAUUCCCGGUGUAGCGGUGAAAUGUGUAGAGAUCGGGAGGAACACCGGUGGCGAAGGCGGGUCUCUGGGCAUCUCCUGACGCUGAGGCGCGAAAGCGUGGGGAGCAAACGGG
rnacentral:rRNA from 1 species